UACGGGGGGGGCAAGCGUUGUUCGGAAUUACUGGGCGUAAAGGGUUCGUAGGUGGCUUGUUAAGUCAGACGUGAAAUCCCUCGGCUCAACCGGGGAACUGCGUCUGAGACUGAUGAGCUCGAGUGCAGGAGAGGAACGCGGAAUUCCGGGUGUAGCGGUGGAAUGCGUAGAGAUCCGGAAGAACACCGGUGGCGAAGGCGGUCUGCUGGGCAGUUGCUGACACUGAGGCGCGACAGCGUGGGGAGCAAACAGG
rnacentral:rRNA from 1 species